rnacentral:rRNA from 1 species
CCUACGGGAGGCAGCAGUGAGGAAUAUUGGUCAAUGGCCGUAAGGCUGAACCAGCCAAGUCGCGUGAGGGAAGACGGAUCUAUGGUUUGUAAACUUCUUUUAUAGGGGAAUAAAGGUAUCCACGUGGGGAGAUUUGCAUGUACCCUAUGAAUAAGCAUCGGCUAACUCCGUGCCCGCAGCCGCGGUAAUACGGAGGAUGCGAUCGUUAUCCGGAUUUAUUGGGUUUAAAGGGUGCGUAGGUUGUUUUUUCAGUCCGCGGUGAAAGUUUGUGGCUCAACCAUCAAAUUGCCGUUGAAACUGGAUGACUUGAGUGUGUUUGAGGUAGGCGGAAUGCGUGGUGUAGCGGUGAAAUGCAUAGAUAUCACGCAGAACUCCGAUUGCGAAGGCAGCUUACUAAGCCAUAACUGACACUGAGGCACGAAAGCGUGGGGAUCAAACAGGAUUAGAUACCCUUGUAGUC